rnacentral:rRNA from 1 species
CCUUAAGGCGGUAGGCAUGGGUCUUAGGCAAAUCCGGGACCCUUUAUGCCGAGCACCGAGACGAGCCCUAUUGGGCGAAGUGACUGACACCACGCUUCCAGGAAAAGCCACUAAGCUUCAGCUAUAGAAAAACCGUACCGUAAACCGACACUGGUAGGCAGGGUGAGAAUCCCAAGGCGCUUGAGAGAACUCGGGUGAAGGAACUAGGCAAAAUGGCACCGUAACUUCGGGAGAAGGUGCGCCCUUUUUGGUGGCUACAUGCGUAGCUGAGCUGAGAAGGGUCGCAGUAACCUGGCCGCUGCGACUGUUUAUCAAAAACACAGCACUCUGCAAACACGAAAGUGGACGUAUAGGGUGUGACGCCUGCCCGGUGCUGGAAGGUUAAUUGAUGGGGUCAGCCGCAAGGCGAAGCUCUUGAUCGAAGCCCCAGUAAACGGCGGCCGUAACUAUAACGGUCCUAAGGUAGCGAAAUUCCUUGUCGGGUAAGUUCCGACCUGCACGAAUGGCGUAACGACAGCGGCGCUGUCUCCACCCGAGACUCAGUGAAAUUGAAUUCGCUGUGAAGAUGCAGCGUUCCCGCGGCAAGACGGAAAGACCCCGUGAACCUUUACUACAGCUUUACACUGAACGUUGAGUUCUUCUGUGUAGGAUAGGUGGGAGGCUUUGAAGCGCAGACGCCAGUUUGCGUGGAGCCAACCUUGAAAUACCACCCUGAAGUGCUUGACGUUCUAACCUAGGCCCGUAAUCCGGGUCAGGGACCGUGUAUGGUGGGUAGUUUGACUGGGGCGGUCUCCUCCCAAAGAGUAACGGAGGAGCACGAAGGUACGCUCAGCGCGGUCGGACAUCGCGCACUGUGUGCAAUGGCAUAAGCGUGCUUGACUGCGAGAUCGACGGAUCAAGCAGGUACGAAAGUAGGUCAUAGUGAUCCGGUGGUUCUGUAUGGAAGGGCCAUCGCUCAACCGAUAAAAGGUACUCCGGGGAUAACAGGCUGAUACCGCCCAAGAGUUCAUAUCGACGGCGGUGUUUGGCACCUCGAUGUCGGCUCAUCACAUCCUGGGGCUGUAGCCGGUCCCAAGGGUAUGGCUGUUCGCCAUUUAAAGUGGUACGCGAGCUGGGUUCAGAACGUCGUGAGACAGUUCGGUCCCUAUCUGUCGUGGGCGUUGGAGAUUUGAGGGGGGCUGCUCCUAGUACGAGAGGACCGGAGUGGACGUUCCGCUGGUGUUCGGGUUGUCAUGCCCAUGGCAUUGCCCGGUAGCUAUGAACGGAAGUGAUAACCGCUGAAAGCAUCUAAGCGGGAAGCACGCCCCAAGAUGAGAUCUCCCGAGAGCUUGACUCUCCUUAAGGCACCAUCAAGACCAGGUGGUUGAUAGGUCAGGUGUGGAAGUGCAGCAAUGCAUGGAGCUAACUGAUACUAAUGAGCCGUGAGGCUUGACU